rnacentral:sRNA from 1 species
UGAUAACCCGCAAACGGCGCGGAGGCUU